GGAUUUGCGACAUCUGUCACCCCAUUGAUCGCCAGGGUUGAUUCGGCUGAUCUGGUUGGCUAGGCGGGUGUCCCCUUCCUCCCUCAUUGCUCCCAAAGCUGCAUGCUCAGUAGAAGAGGACAACGUCCCAGGUAUAGAAGGAAUGUACCAAGGCUUCCAGUCUUCGGUCCUGGGUAUACAACAGUUCCCCUGCUAGAACCUCCAAACAAUUCCCAGAAAUCCCAGCCAGUUUACAAGCUGUUAGGAUUUCUGGGAGUUGAAGGCCAAAACAUCUGGGGACCC
rnacentral:snRNA from 1 species